AUGUAUCUAUUUGGCAGACCUAGUGCAGUUACUGUCUACUGCCAAGGUUUCCACUACCGAUGCAAAAAGAAAAUGUCCUUGCACAUCCUGUUUGUCUGAUUGGGCAGCCAAGAUUGGAUAGGAGACUACAGAG
ensembl:snoRNA